rnacentral:rRNA from 1 species
AUUGAACGCUGGUGGCAGGCUUAACACAUGCAAGUCGAGCGGGGUGAUGGUGCUUGCACUAUCACUUAGCGGCGGACGGGUGAGUAAUGCUUAGGAAUCUGCCUAUUAGUGGGGGACAACAUCUCGAAAGGGAUGCUAAUACCGCAUACGUCCUACGGGAGAAAGCAGGGGAUCACUUGUGACCUUGCGCUAAUAGAUGAGCCUAAGUCGGAUUAGCUAGUUGGUGGGGUAAAGGCCUACCAAGGCGACGAUCUGUAGCGGGUCUGAGAGGAUGAUCCGCCACACUGGGACUGAGACACGGCCCAGACUCCUACGGGAGGCAGCAGUGGGGAAUAUUGGACAAUGGGGGGAACCCUGAUCCAGCCAUGCCGCGUGUGUGAAGAAGGCCUUAUGGUUGUAAAGCACUUUAAGCGAGGAGGAGGCUCUUUUGGUUAAUACCCAGAAUGAGUGGACGUUACUCGCAGAAUAAGCACCGGCUAACUCUGUGCCAGCCGCCGCAGUAA